rnacentral:rRNA from 1 species
UAAGAUCCCUCAAAGACGAUGAGGUAGAUAGGUUCGAGGUGGAAGUGUGGUGACACAUGGAGCUGACGAAUACUAAUCGAUCGAGGACUUAACCAA